rnacentral:rRNA from 1 species
UCCUCCGCUUAUUGAGGUGACUGCGGAAGGAUCAUUACCUAGAGUUUGUGGGCUUUGCCUGCUAUCUCUUACCCAUGUCUUUUGAGUACUUACGUUUCCUCGGCGGGUCCGCCCGCCGAUUGGACAAAAUUAAACCCUUUGCAGUUGCAAUCAGCGUCUGAAAAACAUAAUAGUUACAACUUUCAACAACGGAUCUCUUGGUUCUGGCAUCGAUGAAGAACGCAGCGAAAUGCGAUAAGUAGUGUGAAUUGCAGAAUUCAGUGAAUCAUCGAAUCUUUGAACGCACAUUGCGCCCCUUGGUAUUCCAUGGGGCAUGCCUGUUCGAGCGUCAUUUGUACCUUCAAGCUCUGCUUGGUGUUGGGUGUUUGUCUCGCCUUUGCGUGUAGACUCGCCUCAAAACAAUUGGCAGCCGGCGUAUUGAUUUCGGAGCGCAGUACAUCUCGCGCUUUGCACUCAUAACGACGACGUCCAAAAAGUACAUUUUUACACUCUGACCUCGAUCAGGUAGCAUCCCAU